rnacentral:tRNA from 1 species
GGGAUCAUGGCUCAAUGGGAGAGCGCUCGGCUUGCACCCGAGAUGUCCGGGUUCGAAUCCCGGUGGUUCCA